rnacentral:rRNA from 1 species
UACGUAGGGUGCGAGCGUUGUCCGGAAUUACUGGGCGUAAAGAGCUCGUAGGUGGUUUGUCGCGUUGUUCGUGAAAACUCACAACUCAAUUGUGGGCGUGCGGGCGAUACGGGCAGACUGGAGUACUGCAGGGGAGACUGGAAUUCCUGGUGUAGCGGUGGAAUGCGCAGAUAUCAGGAGGAACACCGGUGGCGAAGGCGGGUCUCUGGGCAGUAACUGACGCUGAGGAG